GUGUAAACUGGAAAAGCUGACGUUAAACUGCAUCAGUAUUACAGAUGAAGGUUGUGCUGCUCUGGCAUCAGCGUUUAAUUCAAACCUCAGAGAGCUGGAUCUGAGCAGGAAUCAAAUAGGAGACUCUGGAGUGACAGAAAUCUCCAGUCUGCUGAGAAAUUCACAGACUCUACAGAUACUCAGACUUUCAGACUGCAGUAUCAGUGAAGAAGGUUAUAAAGCUCUGUCUUCAGCUCUGAGAUC